UGCGAUCAUACGUGCCAUGUUUCUUUCUUACACCGGUUCUCCUAGGAUCACCGAAGUUAAGCAACGUUAAGCCUGGUCAGUACCUAGAUGGGUGAUCACUUUAAAAUACCAGGUGCUGCAAG